GGCCAGACUCCUACGGGAGGCAGCAGUGGGGAAUAUUGCACAAUGGGGGAAACCCUGAUGCAGCGACGCCGCGUGAGUGAAGAAGUAAUUCGUUAUGUAAAGCUCUAUCAGCAGGGAAGAAAAUGACGGUACCUGAGUAAGAAGCCCCGGCUAACUACGUGCCAGCAGCCGCGGUAAUACGUAGGGGGCAAGCGUUAUCCGGAUUUACUGGGUGUAAAGGGAGCGUAGACGGCGAUGCAAGCCAGAUGUGAAAGCCCGGGGCUCAACCCCGGGACUGCAUUUGGAACUGUGUGGCUGGAGUGUCGGAGAGGCAGGCGGAAUUCCUAGUGUAGCGGUGAAAUGCGUAGAUAUUAGGAGGAACACCAGUGGCGAAGGCGGCUUACUGGACUGUAACUGACGUUGAGGCUCGAAAGCGUGGGGAGCAAACAGGAUUAGAUACCCGCGUAC
rnacentral:rRNA from 1 species